AGCCCGCAUUAUUUGCAGCCCCCUCAAGGUCCCAGAUAAAUGAUAGCCAUGCCUUCCCCUCUGCUCUAAUCAGCAGUCACCAAAGGCCAUGGCACUGAAAUACGUUGAGAGGAAAGUCAAACCUCACGGGGCUGGUUGUUAGGUGUCUGAACCACGAGCGGCAGGGGUGUAAAAGACGUGGCUAACCUGGGGAUAUUGCAGAGCAGGGCCCGGAGUUUUGAUGGUUGUGAUACCAGCUUUCAGAGUUGGGGGAGAUAGAGGUGACACAGGUAUUUUAAAGUUAAUAUGUGAUAAUCCUUUAAGACACAAAGGGGACACAGUUCGAGGCUCCUCUGGGAUCAUCUUUUGCAUGCAGGGGGGCUGUGUGGUGAACAAGUCAGAGCAUACAGCUGGGGUGGGUUCUCCAGCUUCAGCUCUGCCGGUGGAAAAAUGUUUUUCUUGUGCUGCGUAGUGGUGACUGUGGCAUUGCUUUCCCUGAGGCUCUUGUGGAGAAUUGGGGAAUUGCUUCUUUUUUGACCUUAAGAUAUUUCAGCGUCUUACAGCGUGAAUGCGCUCCUCUCACUUUCCCUGGUUUGUGCUCAUCAUCACCUUGUUUUUCCCCAGCAGGCCUGGUUCACUGUCGUGUGACUUCGGGGCUAAAAGGUAAAUUUCAAAAGUAUGGGGACUGAGAGCUUGAUAAAGCUUUGUGAUCCAAUCUGUUGGCGAAUGUAGCCACAGAGAGAAUUCGAUUUGCAUACAUUUCCUACCCUGAAUUCCUCCGGUGCUAUUAGGAGUCACCAUAGCUAACACAAUCUCUGAACUGUGGGGCUUAUGUGUGUGCAGAAGUACACCUAUUUGCCUUCUUGGAAAGAGAUUUACUGAAGCGUUUUUCAUGUUAUUGUCCACCCCUCCACCCCCCUUUCUCCCCAUCAGAGGAUUUCGUGCCGCCGUAGAGACUCUUUGAUCUGAGUUAAUUCUUUGAUGAAGCUCCACAAGACAAUGGAGGAGCUGAGCACGCUCUGGGGAGGACGCUUCCCUCUCAGAAGGAGUGGGACUCUGAUAGCUGGGCGAGGUGGUGUGGCCUCAGGGCAAAGAGCCCCUCCGCUGCUAUUUCAUGGCCGGACACCAAGCUGUCUGCGUGCAAGAGCAGGGCACAGGGUGAGAGGGAAGGGCUCUAGGCUUUCACAUACAAAUCAGAGUGGAUGCAGUCAUGGAUUCGAUUCCCGCCACAUCAGACUCCUCCUAGCUGAUCUUCGCCUUGGUGAAGCUUCCAGGAAACAAAGCUAUGUGCCGGCGCGUGAGUCGUGUGUGCUGCGGGAUCAGCUCCCGUGGGAAAGUUACCAAGCUGCGUCUUGUUGGCUGUGGUCGUUCCUCCUUCCCCUGCUUGUCUGGCUGCCCCGUUAA
rnacentral:lncRNA from 1 species